rnacentral:pre_miRNA from 1 species
AAUUUCAGCUGAAAAAAUCAUGAACAUAAAAGUUCUAGAACUCAUCAAGACAUACAACUUUUAUUUUGGUCAUUUCUUCAUCCGAUAAAGUGAUAGUAACAUUGUUCACAAAAUUUACAUAUAUCUCUUAUAGUUUAUGAAACCAAAUGAGAGAUAUGUAAAUUUUGUGUAAACAAUGUUACUAUCAGGAUGAAAAUGACCGAAAUAAAAGUUAUAGAUCUUGAUGAGUUAUACAACUUUGUUGUUGAUGACUUUUUCAGUUGAAAUC